GUCACUUUCUAAAUACAUUACUUAUCCUGUACUGAUCCAAUGAUGCCUGUUAUACACUGUAUUAUACUCCAGAGCUGCACUCACUAUUCUGCUGGUGGAGUCAGUGCAUACACAUUACUUAUCUAGUAAUGAUCCUGAGUUACAUCCUGUAUUAUACUCCAGAGCUGCACUCACUAUUCUGCUGGUGGAGUCACUGUAUACAUACAUUACAUUACUUAUCCUGCACAGAUCCUGAGA